AUUGAACGCUGGCGGCAUGCUUUACACAUGCAAGUCGAACGGUAACAGGCCGCAAGGUGCUGACGAGUGGCGAACGGGUGAGUAAUGCAUCGGAACGUGCCCAGUCGUGGGGGAUAACGCAGCGAAAGCUGUGCUAAUACCGCAUACGAUCUAUGGAUGAAAGCGGGGGACCGUAAGGCCUCGCGCGAUUGGAGCGGCCGAUGUCAGAUUAGGUAGUUGGUGGGGUAAAGGCCUACCAAGCCGACGAUCUGUAGCUGGUCUGAGAGGACGACCGGCCACACUGGGACUGGGACACGGCCCAGACUCCUACGGGAGGCAGCAGUGGGGAAUUUUGGACAAUGGGCGCAAGCCUGAUCCAGCAAUGCCGCGUGCAGGAAGAAGGCCUUCGGGUUGUAAACUGCUUUUGUACGGAACGAAACGGCCUGGGUUAAUACCCUGGGCUAAUGACGGUACCGUAAGAAUAAGCACCGGCUAACUACGUGCCAGCCGCCGCAGUAAUAC
rnacentral:rRNA from 1 species